GGGUUACUAGAGCUGUGGGCUUUGCCCACUGUCUCUUACCCAUGUCUUUUGAGUACUUACGUUUCCUCGGUGGGCUCGCCCGCCGGUUGGACAAUUUAAACCAUUUGCAGUUGCAAUCAGCGUCUGAAAAACAUAAUAGUUACAACUUUCAACAACGGAUCUCUUGGUUCUGGCAUCGAUGAAGAACGCAGCGAAAUGCGAUAAGUAGUGUGAAUUGCAGAAUUCAGUGAAUCAUCGAAUCUUUGAACGCACAUUGCGCCCCUUGGUAUUCCAUGGGGCAUGCCUGUUCGAGCGUCAUUUGUACCUUCAAGCUCUGCUUGGUGUUGGGUGUUUGUCUCGCCUUGCGCGUAGACUCGCCUUAAAACAAUUGGCAGCCGGCGUAUUGAUUUCGGAGCGCAGUACAUCUCGCGCUUUGCACUCAUAACGACGACGUCCAAAAGUACUUUUUACACUCUUGACCUCGGAUCAGGUAGGGAUACCCGCUGAACUUAAGCAUAUCAAUAAGCCGGAGGAAAAUCAUUACCUAGAGUUUGUGGGCUUUGCCACUGUCUCUUACCCAUGUCUUUUGAGUACUUACGUUUCUGGUGGGCUCGCGCGUUGGACAAUUUAAACAUUUGCGUUGCAAUCACUCUGAAAAACAUAAUAGUUACAACUUUCACAACGAUCUCUUGUUUCUGGCUCAUGAAAAAGCACAAAUGCAUAAGUAGUGUGAAUUGCAGAAUUCAUGAAUCAUCAAUCUUUGAACGCAUUGCUGGCCUAUUCAGGGGGCAUGCGUUUCAGCUCUUUUUACUUACCUCUGUCUGUUGGGUGUUGUCUGCUUGCGCCUCAACCUACCCUGGGAGACCAAUUGAGUUCGGAGCAUGACUUGCUCAUACACACCUCAAAGCAUUUUUAUCUGACUCGACAGGUAGGAUUACCCUACU
rnacentral:rRNA from 1 species